ACGUGGAGACAGUUGUGCAAUUUGGUCACAGAGUGUCCUAGGUGCUUUUGCUUCAUUGCUCCUCCACUGAAGCACGCUGGCAGCUGGCCUCCUUCCCCUGGGACUAAGGAUAUCUUGGCUGGAAGCUCUGCUCUGAAAAGGGGCAUGGCCAAACUUUCACUAGGGCUCUUCGUUGGGGAGCACGAUGGACAAAAGCCUUCUUGGGGCUAGGCAGGUCACUUCAAACUUGGAGCCGCCAAAUAUUUUGGGAAAUAGCGGGAAUGUUGGCGAACUGGGCAAGUGC
rnacentral:lncRNA from 1 species